UCCCUUCCCCUGACAACGGGAAGCGGGUGAGCGUCAAGACGCCUGCGCAAACGUGGCCGGGGCGCCGGGGCGGUGGGUUACGCCUGGAGAGCGCAUGGGCAGACAAACUGUACGUCCGUUUGUCCGGAGCGGAGGGGAGAGUGGGCGCCAUCUUCUUCUAGGCUCACUGAGGGCUCCACCUGGGCAGGCUGCUGCGACGAAGAGUGUCCCCCGACUCCGGCCUUGUGUGUCCGACUCGGCAGCAGUGAUGUCUACUUGGAAUUUGUACUUCGUUUUUGCUGAAGAUGAUUAAUUUCCUCUGGAACAAAGAAGACCAUUUUGUAAUGCCCAUAGUUGUGGUUCCUAUUAUUGCUUCACUUUUAAUAGUUAAGUUGCUUUUACAGAAUUAACAGGUCUCCAAGAAAUUUUAAAAAGAUCUCUUCUAGGAGUAAGUCUCAAGAUGUUCUGAAGUGAUUGCACAGAGGUGAUCUUUUGAAGGGGAAAUGAGCCCAACAAUGCUUUUUUAUGUGAAGAACAAAUAAGGUAAGAUGGUUUGUAAUAUAAUUAGAUGCCCAACUGCAAAAAAUUAGCUGCUACCAGAAUAAGUCUCAGCAGUUCUUGUAAAUCAUGGACUACCUAAGAAAAAUAGCAAGUUCUUUCUCUGUUCCUCUUCAGAUAUUUUCUCUACUUAUUUCCAAGAAACGUUUAUUUAAAGGAUACUUUUCUCCUUGGUACUUGUUUGGUAUCAUUUUACUUCCCCUGGUCCCACAGCUGUCCCUAGACUUAACUCCUCUCUUCUCCAUGCCAGUCUCGAUAGCCACAAUACAUUUUCUGCUUAUAGGAUCUUUUCUGCCUCAGGAUCUUUGUGUAGCUCUCUGUAUCCUUUGCCUGAACGGUGUUGCCAGGGGUUCUCUUAACACAUCCCUCAAACUUCUCAUUGAGAAAUCAUUCUUUGAUUUCUCUACACUAUUUAGAAUCCUCUAUCAUAUAUGCUUAAAAUAUACUAUAUUUUUUAUGAGACUGGUCAUAUUAUAAAACUUAAAUAGUUGCACAGCACAGGCAUACCUUGUUUUAUUGCAUUUCACUUUGGUGUAGUUCAGGUACUCUGUUUUUUACAAACUGAAGGUUUGUGGCAACCCUGCUUCAAUCAAGUCUGUCAGUGCCAUUUUCCCAGCAGCAUUUGCUCACCUCGUAUCUCUGUAUCACAUUUUGAUAAUUAUUGUAAUAGUUUAACCUUUUUCACUACAACUAUGUAUGUUACGGUGACCUGUGAACAGUGAUUAUGACUCACCGAAAGCUUAGAUGAUGGUUAGCAUUUUUUAGCCAUAAAACAUUUAAUGGUUUGUAUACUUUUUGAAAGAUCUAAUGCUGUUGGAUACUUAAGAGACUAUAGUAUACAAUACCAUAUAUUAACUAUACUGGAAUUAAAAUUAAGAACUUAAAAAACAUAUUGUAGUAUAGUAUAAAUAUAACUUUUUUAAGCACUGGAAAACUGGAAAAUUCAUCUGACUUGCUUUGUUGUGAUACUCCUUUUGUUGCAGAGGUCUGGACUGCUGCAAUCUCUCUUGAGGUAUGCCUGUAUGUUUUUUAAUGUGUGAACUCCAAGGUAGAUUUUUAAGUUUUUGCUCUGACAGAUCAGAUCAUUUCUAACUUACAGUGCUAAAUCCUCAGAACUUAGAAUGCUGCCUGCCAUAUAGCAGGUGCUCAAUAAAUAGUUGUUCAAUGAACAUUUAAUGAGGCAAAUACUUUAUCUCCAUUUUAGGGAUAAGGAAGCUGAAGUAUGAAAAACUUACUCAAUAUUGCCUCACUAUGAAGUGGGGACUUUGAUACUUUGUUGAAAAUAUAUCUACCACACAGCCCUGAGAUACUUAGGUUUUCUUGAAUCUCCUCUCUCGAGCUCCCUCGCUAGCUGAUUAAUAUUAGUAAGAGAAAUGGUGUGACAAAAAAACCUAGCUAGGACCUCUGGAAUGAGAAGGAAGAUCUUGGGGUCUAAAGGAAAUGAAGGAACUUUAGUGACCGUUAACAAGUGGCACGUCAAGGGCAUUAGAAAAAGGAGAAUUAAAAUACUUGUGAAGAGGAAAAGUGGGGGAUCAGUUCUGCACCUGCCAUUUAGUGCAGUGUUGUUUCUUGUAGGGAAUGGUGCACAUCACUCACCAAGAAGCACACUCUGCACAGGGCAGAAAGGGAAAUACAAACAGUGUUAGUAGUCCGACUUCCGGGUGUGGUCCUAGCUCUAUUACUUAUUAGUUAUGGGACCAUCUGGGAAGUUUCUUAACCUCGUUCUGCCUCACUUUUCUCUUCCAUAGAUAUGAGGACAAUAAGUACUUCUAUCAAAGUUGAUGGGAGAAAUAAAAUAUAAUUAAAAUGCACAGAUCAGUAGCUGUCCAGGUAAUCACUGUGUAAAGAUUUUCUAUUUUAUUAUUUUACAAAUGACAGAAGCUCGGUCUAUUUUUUUUUAAAAACAUAGUACAUGAAAGGAGUGAAAAUUAAGAAACCUUAGCUUUAGUAUUUGGAAAGAAUGGACACUUAGGAAACCAUCUAUUGAUAAACAGAAAUAUCAUAUAUGCAUAACUGAUAACAAACUGGGAGAUGAGAUGUUGGCACUGGAAAACAUUUAUACACAUAUUAAAAAAUGUGCCUUUCUUCAUUUUAGUCAAGCUGUAAUCUGUUUUAGUUUCCUGGAACCAGUGGAGUAGUGAGAAGGCCCAGGUGAUUGCUUUAUAAUGGACAGUUAAUAAACAAACAACUUGGGGAAUCUUCACAAUUGUCAAAUGGCAGACACUCCCAAAUUCUGUCACUUAUUAAUAUAGAAUUCCGGUUUUAUCUUGAAACUACCUGGCCUUUUCCACUUCUACUACAGAGAUAAAAUAUGGAUAAAGUAUGUCUCCAAUAUUUUAUCUGUUUUAGCAAAAAUACUUUUCUUUUUUCUUCCCUUUUAGAAUGUGGGAGGGUAAGAUAUUUACUUUUCAGAUGUGCUUGCUGAAGCCAGGUUUAGAUAUUUAGCUGUUCUGACAUUAGCUGGUCAGCUGGAUUUGUACUGAACUCUCAGUAUGAAGCAAGUUUUAGUAUAAAUCUACAUUUAUUUCAUAGCAUACUGAUUAAAUCACACGAAACUGGUCAGAAUCCUGAUUCUACUAUUUAUAGCUAAGCAGCUAUGGUCAAGUUAAGUUACUUAAAGCCUCUAAACCUGUUCUGAUAGUUGUAAAAUGAGAAUAAUAACAGCAUCUACCUUAUAGGAUUGUGUGAGGAGUGAAUGAGAAAAUGCAUGUGAAGCUUUGGGUAUUCUGCAUAGCAUAAGCACUCAAAUGUUAGCACAAAUCAGUGUCAUGAUUAGUAUACUUAAGUGACAUCACCAGUCAAAAAUGAUACACUGUUUCACAUAAUGGCCUUAUUAACUAGCUAUUAAUAAUCAACUCUUGGAACUUGACCAUGGUUAAUUUGAAAAGUUAAAGCAUACUUAGAAAAUCAUAGAAGUUUAGCUAUUUGGGACUGCACACAGUAAUAUAAACCACUGUAGUUCAAAUUUAAGGUAUUUUUAUCCACACAACCUAAUGCUUUCUUUUAAAUAAUUCCCUCUUAAUUAUUGAAGAACUGAACUUGGAUAGACAUAGUCCUACCUCCAGAUCUUCUUGUUCAUCAAUCUUUUGUAUGUUUUGGUAGGCAGCAGUGUAGACCUCUAAAGCUUUGCCAUGAAAUAACAUUUCAAUAGUGAUAAAUUCUGAAAAUAUAGUCUAAAAAAAAAAAAAAAAGAUUUUGAGUUUAAACAAUCAUCAAUUUGUAAAAUCAGUCAAUUUAUUCCUUACUGCAGUCUUGGCAUUUUAUGAAAUACAGAGGUAUCUCUUUCCACAGGGCGAAUGAAGUACAAAAGAGAACAGGAAUAAAAACAGUUGCAAAGACCUUUUACAGCACAGCCUUGAAAUUAUACAAAAUACUACCUAUCUCACCAUUUACUUCCCACUUAUUAAGUUAUUUUUUUGUAUACCUUGUAAUUGACAUUUGUGAUAAAAAGAUCUGACUGAAAUGUAUAUACCAUUAUGUACUGUUAUCAUUUGUCUAUAAGUAUUAGAUAAAGCAGGUCAGUUCUAAACCUGGUAUUUUCUAAUUCCAACUGAUGUUUAAACAAUAGAAUGUUUUUUAGACAGGAAUUUUAUCCCAUCAUAUUUCUAUGUGUUCUUGUACUCUCUAACCACAAAGGAAUUACUUGGUAAAUCUAUUGUUACCACUGAUGAUAGUAUCAUGCAUUUGCAUAGCCUUCUAGUUUACAACAUGACUUGUCUAGUGUUGCUCACAGCUAGAAUGUUGAAACUUGGGUCUGAUUCUUCAGUGGUUACAGUUCGUACUUAUUGUACUGUGCUAUUUUUGCUGGAAUCAAUCGUUUCUUUCAUAAAUAAACUGCAUGUAAACCCUCUAAGCUUGAUAGCAACUUAUGACAAGGAAGAUGAUGCACCAGGAGAAUGAAUGAAGAUGUACAUGUUGAUCUAAGCAGGGGUGAGAUCAUCGGUAGGUAAGGAAAGGACAAACCAGACAAGUUUUCAAUAAAAUAGGAUCUUUUCCUUUUUGUUAACUUGUCCCUUAUCAAAAUAAUAACUGUAUUAUAACACCUAAAGAAGUGGACGAGGUAGAAAAUGAGUACUCAAGCAUUGUCCUUAAAGGGGCAAGAGAGAAGAGACGGGUUAUAGAAGACAAGGGUCAAAUAAUAGAAAUGGUCCUGCACUUUGGAAGACAGUGUCACAGAUAUCCUUUAGUGUUCUUUAAUUUCCCCCACCCCUAUCCCCAUUCUUUCUUAAGGAUUAAAAGAAUUAUUUUAGGGAGUACUGAUAGGCUUCUGAUCGCUACUCAAUGUAAACAUUGUAAAUAUAAACAGUUGAAAAGUGUCCCUUCUGGUCUACAAAGAUUGGGCUCUGGGAAGACAAGAAGUGAGACACAAUUAUGACUCAACAGUGACCUUUACUGUCAAUUCCUAUAGGUCACAGAGGAUUGUGGUAUACUGUAAUGGCAACUAAUAAACAGCAUUAUGCCUAAGAAUCUCCAGAUACCCAGGAGAUACCUUCGAGGUGAACUGGCUUUUGAUUAGGACUGAGACUUACUUAGUUGUCUGUCUUCCUAAGAAAGCUGCCUAGCUAGAAAGGAAUCAAGUGCCCUUUAGAAGUGUGGAAACUCCUAGAGGGAAAACGGUGGAAUAGUCAAUGAUAAGCCAAAACACUGAAGAUGCCUACUUGGUUCUUGGUCUGUGGCUCAUUUUAGGUAAUGGAACAAUCAAGCACAACCUUGCAUCUUUCCUUCUGAAUCUUAAAUUUAGAGAUUUUCUACAUUUAGUCAAUAAAGAACUAUAUAAAAAAUA